rnacentral:rRNA from 1 species
GUAAAUGUCAACAUAUAAUGCUGAACACCAGAUCUCAUUCGAUCUCAGAAGCUAAGCAGGGUUGGACUUGGCCUAUGUUUGGAUGGGACACCACAAAAUACCAGAGAUCUCCACA